rnacentral:rRNA from 1 species
CUACGUAGGGUGCAAGCGUUAAUCGGAAUUACUGGGCGUAAAGCGUGCGCAGGCGGUGAUGUAAGACAGAUGUGAAAUCCCCGGGCUCAACCUGGGACCUGCAUUUGUGACUGCAUCGCUAGAGUACGGUAGAGGGGGAUGGAAUUCCGCGUGUAGCAGUGAAAUGCGUAGAUAUGCGGAGGAACACCGAUGGCGAAGGCAAUCCCCUGGACCUGUACUGACGCUCAUGCACGAAAGCGUGGGGAGCAAACAGGAUUAGGUACCCUGGUAGUCCACGCCCUAAACGAUGUCAACUGGUUGUUGGGUCUUUGCUGACUCAGUAACGAAGCUAACGCGUGAAGUUGACCGCCUGGGGAGUACGGCCGCAAGGUUGAAACUCAAAUGAAUUGGCGGGG